AUUGAACGCUGGCGGCAGGCCUAACACAUGCAAGUCGAACGGUAACAGGAAGCAGCUUGCUGCUUUGCUGACGAGUGGCGGACGGGUGAGUAAUGUCUGGGAAACUGCCUGAUGGAGGGGGAUAACUACUGGAAACGGUAGCUAAUACCGCAUAACGUCUCAAGACCAAAGAGGGGGACCUUAGGGCCUCUUGCCAUCGGAUGUGCCCAGAUGGGAUUAGCUAGUAGGUGGGGUAACGGCUCACCUAGGCGACGAUCCCUAGCUGGUCUGAGAGGAUGACCAGCCACACUGGAACUGAGACACGGUCCAGACUCCUACGGGAGGCAGCAGUGGGGAAUAUUGCACAAUGGGCGCAAGCCUGAUGCAGCCAUGCCGCGUGUAUGAAGAAGGCCUUCGGGUUGUAAAGUACUUUCAGCGGGGAGGAAGGGAGUAAAGUUAAUACCUUUGCUCAUUGACGUUACCCGCAGAAGAAGCACCGGCUAACUCCGUG
rnacentral:rRNA from 1 species